UGUAAAUCGCAGAGGUAUUGAUCGAGCUAGACUUCAAGAUUCAUCGAUUUAGCCACAGGUACCUCAAAUUGAUCGUAUUCGGUUUAGUCUUGAGCGGAUACAUGAGCGAUUUAAGUUUAGUCUUGAGCGGACUAGGUUUAAAUCAUACAACUCGUGACCGGAUAAGUAUCCGGAUAGGUAAAUCGAUUGGUUCUGUGAUUGUUUUGUGAGUGAUUUAGCCGACUGUUUGAGCGAUUUAGCUGUAUGCGGUGAGCGAUUUAGCCGACUGCUUGAUCGGUUUAGCUGUCUGGUUGAGCGAUUAAUCCUAUGCGGUGAGCCAUUUACACUUGAUCUAUCUCUUCAUUUGAGCGAAUUCGGAUAGUAGGAAAUUCAGCUUGAGCGAAUUCGUACAAAGAGUUUGGACUUAAUUCGAAUUUCACCAAUACUACUAAAAUCUUCUUGUGAACCAGUCGUCAUUAGCCAGCUAGAGGAGAUCUGCAAAUUUCGACAACCCACAGUGCAGUGAGCGAUAUAUUUUGAGCGAUUUUAGGAAUUUAAGUGAGCGAUUUAUUUAGCUAGGUGAGCGAUUUAGACUGUAUUAUUGAGCAAUCUUGACUUGGUUAGAACAGCUUGUCUGAGUUUCUUCAAUAUCGUACUUCACUGUGUUCAGCCCAAACCUUAUGUCUGAAUUUGAGAUAAAUCGUCCAUAGAAUUGAGUUGAUUUGGUCUGAUUCUUGCUAUUUCAUUAAGGAUUUGAGCAUUGCUUGAACAAAUAGAGAUAUCAGUUGCUUGGUAGGUUUAAUUGGUAAGUGAACGCUGGAUUCAAGUUGUAUUGACAAAAUUCAAGCUGUUGUUGAGCUGCUCCUUCAUCCUUCUCCUUUGGGAACAUUGUGACAGAUUCUUGGGCUGUCGAACAGCAAGCCUAAGUUCUUCUUCUGUUCCCUCACGAUCAUCUUACGCAGUAAAACCAUUCAGGGUUAUUGAUUUAUGCUAAGGCUAUUGAAAGCUACUGAAUUUUCAAGGAAGGAGUCUAAACCAGAUUCAGGGUACCUGCACAGAAAAUCCUGGUGCUGUUUCAGUUUCGACAAAGGAGACUGACUGCUAGCUUUGAGCAGACUUGAGAUUUGAAGAUUGUUGUUUUACCAGACCCAUCUGCAGCUACACAGUGUCUAGCAAGGAAGAUAGAAGUUCACGGUCCAUAGCCAACUUAUGGUGAUCCAGAUUUGUUGAAUUCCUAGUUGACUGUUUUGUUGACUGUUUUAAGGCUAAUGCGAAGCAAGGACGCACAUUUAACAGAUUGAAUCAGUCAGAAUGUUGCUGGAAGAUUGAAGUUCAGAAGUUUGCUGUCAUUCAGGACGAAGCACAAUCAGAAGUUUGCUGACAUUCAGGACAAAGAAGGAGACUGCUUAAAGCCUGUUUAGAGUGCUGUUGCUAUUUGUUUGAAGGUGGAUAUUGGUGUGAAGACAGUUCAUUGAAACAGGUUCAAGGAUAUCUACAUCAUAUUGGAUAUGGUUUAUCACUCACAGCAGCCUUAUUGAAUUACUGUUUGUAUUGGUUGCUGGAAACAAUAAUUUGAAACAGUUGCCUGUUUUGAGUUUCAUCUUCCAAGGGAUUGUAAAUCACUUGCUGAUUAAACUGGGUUUGAGCUUUAUCUUCA